UAUUUUGUUUUAUUUUUUAAUUGUUCGUUUUAAAAACUAUUGUCCUUAGUGCUGAUUAUGCCAUGUUUCUAUAUCAAGUGCUCAUACCUGAGCUUCUAGCAGCAUUGAUUCCCUUUUUAAUGUUCAUUCUAUAUAAAAAUCAAAAUCGAUUUCUUGUUUCGAAUAAUCGAUUGUAACUUCGAGACCACACCAUUUGCUAUUUUAGGUUAAACAGAAUUUGAUAUAAGGAAGAAGCAGUUUUCCCUUCAAGUUCGGCAUGGCUUGUGAUGGAAGGAAAAUUUAUCCGUUAUUUUUGAAAUAGUACAUUCCUUUAAUUAGUGGGAUAGAAAAUGAUGGACGAGGCAUGCCUUUGGAAGGCAUCUUAUAUCAUACUUGAAAUACAUAUAUCUUGGCAGGAUCUUUAGGAGUUGUACAUGUAAUUUGAACUAAAAUGGAUUGUGCUUUAUUUACGUUUUUGUAUAAAAAUACGAUGCAUGUCAGCACAAUUUGCAAAUACGUUUUACUUCCAACCGCGCAUGCAAGAUGGAAUAUAUGAUGCUCUGCAAAAAACAAUUGUCAAAAACCAUAGUCUUUUAAGUCAUAAUAUAAUUAUUAGGGAGCUAUGGAGCAAAAAAAAAGAAUUAUAAUCAGGUAACUAUAUGAUU
rnacentral:sRNA from 1 species